UUUUUUUUUUUUUUUUCACGCUUCAUUGCGGCUAUAAUUUUCCUAAAAUAUACAAUUUCCUAAGUCAACUUGGUCACCCACUAGCAAAAGCCAAUCAUCUUGGAUAUGGAUUUCAGGCAAAACAAGCAUUCAUAACCCACUAUAUUGGUUAACCAAAGUUGCAAAAUUUGGAGAACCAAUGGAAAUGGAACAUGUAUAGUGGUAACAAGAAAAAUAUCUUUUUACCUGUUUAGGCCAAGACUAACCUAUACCUUUACAAGACAAUGCCAGCGCUCGCUUUAUAUUUAAAAUGAACCAAUGGCAAAUGGCUAUCACAGCAAAUCAUAUUCACUUCUUACCCUUCCCAUAAUCAGCAUGAGACUGAAGGCUCUCAUAAUCUGCGCUCAAGGGUGCAUGUAACCUAACGUAUCUCAUGCAUCUUAUUUAAUUGACUGGCCAAGGAAGGUUAACUUUCAUCUGGUAUUCAUUGCACCUUUGCCACAGUUCGGCUGGACAUACCAUGCAACAAUUUGACAAAUCCAUGGAAGCUAAGUUGUCCAUCAGUAUGCCUUAUCCAGUCAUUGAGAACUGCAUGAACUGGAAUAGAGGGGCCAAGUCCAAGUUCAGAAGCAAGCUCCUCAAUGACGAUAGCCCUGUUUCCAUCCUUGUCAAAAAUUUCAUAUGCAGAACGGGCACGCUGUUCCCAGCGAUCAAGUGCCUCCAGCUGAUGGACACUCAAUGCAGCUGCACAAAAUUCUUCAAAAUCCAAUUUUCUAUAUUGAAUUGAACCAACCAUGCUAACAUAAUCAAGGACCCUUGAAUCCUUCACUGCAUCUGUGGAAUUCCUUAUUACUGCCGUCUUAAAGUUUGACAUAGAAAUGAACCCAUUUUUGCUUGGCCCUAACAGCAUAAAUUGUUCUCGGAGGUAAGCUAGCUGGUUUACAGUUAAUGUCUUUGCCAGAGCCUGUCAUGGUAACAAUACUUAGUAUAGUCAUUGUUUUGAGAGAAAAGAUCAGAGGUUUACAUCAAAGACGUUAAUGAAAUAUACAAAAGUACUUUUCUACUCCAAAGGUUAGCAUUAAUUAAUUUGUAAUUUAUGAUGUGGACAAACUUCACUUGAUUUUACUCAUUGCUUUAUGGGUAGUUGUAGAAUGGUCCAAAUCCAUUGCAACUGAAACUGAGUGCAUCUGGAUUACCUACAGAUCCUUAAUAUUAUAUGUAUGUGUAUAACUCUUUACUGUCAUGAAUAAUUUUAGUAUUUAGGAUAUCAGCAAGUCCAUUUUUAUAUUAACCGGUCACUAUAAGUCUUUUUUACUUUAAUUGGUCACUAUACUAGACAACUUACCCCCAGUGCAGAUUUCCUUAGAGAAGAUGAGCAGAUAUAAGCUUUUACAAGUUUGUAUACUAUCAUAUCCAAUGGGAUUUUUACGCCAUGAUGAUUGGCUAACCAUGGAUGACUUAGGGCCUGAGCAGCGGUCAGUCUCUUACGAUAAUCCUUGUUUAACAAUCUCUUCACAAAAUCUAUUGCUUCGGGGGAUAAAGAUGUCCAAGGAGCAUCAUCAAAAAUUGGAUCCGCUUUGAGUACAGCUCGAAAGAUCCCAGAUUCUGUCCGUGCCCAAAAGGGCCGGCUGCCACAUAGAAGAAUAUAAGCAAUUACACCAAUACUCCACAUGUCUGCUUCAGUCCCAUAUUGUCGAUGAAGAACUUCAGGAGCUACAUAAUAUGCACUUCCUACAAUGUCAUUCAACCUUUCAUCUGGCUUUACAUAGUCAGAGAGUCCAAAAUCAAUGGCCUUCAAUGGGGAAUUCUCCUCCUCAGUAAUGAAAAGAAAAUUCUCUGGCUUCAGAUCACGGUGAACCACACCUUGGAGAUGACAGUAGGCAACUACACUUAAUAUCUGAACCAUAACAGUCUUUGCAUCAUCUUCUGAGUAUUUUCCACCCCUUGAAAGUAUCCUAUCCAAUAGUUCACCGCCUUUGCACAACUCCAUCACAACAUAGACAUUCUCAUCAUCUUCGUAGGCAUCAUAGAACUGUGCGAGGUUCUUAUGUCCGGUUAGAGCUCGUAAUAUUUGUACUUCUCGUCUAACAUCCUCAAUAGCAAUUGCAGUGGUCAUCUUAGACUUAGGAAUAACUUUGACAGCCACAUCCUGGCCUUUCAUGCUGCCUUUCUUGGCCUUGGCAGAGCAAGCAUACCCAAAAUGACCAUGCCCCACCUCCUCACCAAGCACAUAAUGGCUCGCAAACUGCUUGGAGAACCCAAAAUUCUUGUCCAGAGCGAUCUCACUCUCACUACCCUCAGGGAUAGGGGCUUCAUUGGGCUUAACAGAGCCAUGCCUUCGUGCAAGCAAUGCACGAAUGUGCUUUGCAGGAGAAGGAGGUGGAAAGGGCCUCUUGAAAAUGCGCAAGGGAGUGGAGCUUACACUCGAUAUUGCAGGUGAGUUCUUGAAGAGGCUUGGCAAGGGACUUGGACUAUAGAAAGGGUUAGAGGCCUUGCUGGUGUGGGAAGUUGGUGGUUGUAAGUCGGUUUCGAAGGAGAGUGUAUGGUUGUUGGAUUCAUGUUGUUGGGUCUCAAUGGGUUUUCCAUGACAGAGUCCCAUAGAGACAGGAAACCAAGAAAAAGAUAAUUCAAGAAAUCACUCGUAAAUCAAGAAACUGAGGACUCAAGAAGAAACUCAAAGAAAAGUAAAUAAAUUUACACCAUUUGAAAGCAAAUUCCAGGACUUGAAGCUGAAGAAAGAAGUUUCCUCAAGAAAUAUACAGGGAAGAGAAUCAAGAAGAACCUGAUCCAGUUGAAUUUCCCAGUCUUGAGAGGUAACUCAGAAAGAAAACUGAAUUUUACAGUAUGAUCAACAUAACCCAGAAAUGAAUCUUAGCACUGUAAUUCCCAAGAAAAUGCCCUUGCAACAAAUUCCAGGUUAUAAAGGCAGAAAAUUUAAAAUAAAAAUCAAAGCAAAGAAAAAAAAAUUGCGCCAAAAAAAAGGUAUUAGACUUUACUGAUCAAGAAACCAAAUGGUUAGAUACAAAGGAAGGUAGACAACAAACAAGAAGCAAAUUAUAGAUGAAGCUUGAGGGAGAGAAAUAGAGAGAAGCAAAAGAAAGAAUAAAAGCAGGGGAAGUUUUAUUCCAACAAGGGAAGAAUGGAGAGAUGAAAAGAGGCAAAAGCACAGGAAAAGGGGAGAAAAGAUGCUUAGUAGAGGCAACAAGAAAAGAGAAAACCAAUUUUUUUAAAUAUAUAUAUGUAUAGAAACCAAUGAAAAAAAAAAAGUAACAGCAAGGCUACUUCCUUUUCUUACUUUUUGCAAACUUCUUUAUUUAUUUAAUUUUUGUUAUCUUUCUUCCACUUUCAAAAAAAAAAUAAAAGAGAAGAAAAAAAGAAAG
rnacentral:misc_RNA from 1 species